rnacentral:tRNA from 1 species
GGGGCUGUGGGGUAGCUUGGCCAUCCUUUCUGGUUUGGGACCAGAAGACCCCGGUUCGAAUCCGGGCAGCCCCA